rnacentral:rRNA from 1 species
GACGAACGCUGGCGGCGUGCUUAACACAUGCAAGUCGAACGGUGAAAGCGGAGCUUGCUCCGCUGGAUCAGUGGCGAACGGGUGAGUAACACGUGGGCAACCUGCCCCUCACUUCGGGAUAACUCCGGGAAACCGGGGCUAAUACCGGAUAUGACCUCCUUGGGCAUCCUUGGAGGUGGAAAGUUUUUCGGUGAGGGAUGGGCCCGCGGCCUAUCAGCUUGUUGGUGAGGGAGUGGCUCACCAAGGCGACGACGGGUAGCCGGCCUGAGAGGGCGACCGGCCACACGGGGACUGAGAAACGGCCCAGACUCCUACGGGAGGCAGCAGUGGGGAAUAUUGCGCAAUGGGCGAAAGCCUGACGCAGCAACGCCGCGUGCGGGAUGACGGCCUUCGGGUUGUAAACCGCUUUCAGCAGGGAAGAAGCCGCAAGGUGACGGUACCUGCAGAAGAAGCACCGGCUAACUACGUGCCAGCCGCUGCCGUAA